UACGAAGGAUUCGAGCGUUAUCCGGAUUUAUUGGGUUUAAAGGGUGCGUAGGUGGACUAAUAAGUCAGUGGUGAAAGCCCGCAGCUUAACUGCGGAACUGCCAUUGAUACUGUUAGUCUUGAGUACAGUUGAGGUGGGCGGAAUGUGUCAUGUAGCGGUGAAAUGCUUAGAUAUGACACAGAACACCGAUUGCGAAGGCAGCUCACUAAGCUGUAACUGACACUGAGGCACGAAAGCGUGGGGAGCAAACAGG
rnacentral:rRNA from 2 species